rnacentral:piRNA from 1 species
UUCACUUUUAUACGUUUGCUGCCUGGGUCC